rnacentral:lncRNA from 1 species
UUGAAGCGAUGAUAUGCUGCCAUUCUCCCAGACCACUGACACCUGGAACUCUCAUUACUCUCUGUUUUCCAGAUCCAUCUAGCACAAUAUCAAUGAUGAACUGGACCAGUGUCAUAUUCUGCAUUAUAUCAAGGCAAUCAAGAUCAUCCUGGACUGUAUUAUGACAGAGGGCCAGGGAGUGAACAGAGCCCUUAUAAUAUAUGCAGUUUUCCCUUGCACAUGAAGGCAACCUGUGUCUACUUAUCUUUUCUGAUCCCUUUCCUGGCUUCUAAGGACAGAUCAUAUAUUACAGCAGCAAAUAUGGCCCCAGAAGUUCCAUGGACCCUUAUUUCUCAUCAUUUAGAAGAAGAAAGCACCUCUUUCCUCAGUUCCUCUCUUCAGGACUCCCAGUACCACUGCUUCUGGUGACAGCCCAUGGCAGGUGGGGAGGACGUGGAGAUGGAAAGAAUGAGAAGGGCAGGUUACUGGUAGACUGAAAAAAUGUUUUGGAUAUAUCUGAAAAAUAUUUCCUUUUCCUUGCAAAAUGGC